CUUCCUGGAGCAGAGCAGCUGGAGGCCUCCCAGCGUCCUGGCGCCUGUGGGCGGAUGAUUGGCUUGCCCCAACUAUGCAUUUGAGCCAAAGAGUGUUCAAAAGGAAAAGUCAACGUUGCAAAGCUAUAGCUGUUCCUAAGUGCUGUGUGUGAGGGGUGUGUGAUGUGUGUGUGUCAUCCUGGCUUUAAACAAACUUUUGAGAGCUGUAGUAUGCUCAGUUGUUUUUGCUACACAGACUGGUAAAAUACAUGUGGAGAUUUCUGAAAGAAACAGGAGAAAAAAAUGGUAGGAAAGAAUAUAGGAGCCCUCUUUGGGGUCAGACAAUUCUGGAAGAGGAGAAAGAAGAGGAGGGGAGAGGAAAAGUAGAGAAGAGAGAGGACAAGGAGGAGAGGGUGGCCAGGAAGAGAGGCCCCAGCUCAGCAAUUGUCAGGUUCCAGCCCCAGCUGAGAUCCGAGGGGAGUGGGUGGAUGGGGCAAGGUGUGGGGGUUGCUGGAAGAACACUCGAGGAGUGGGUGGACGGGGCGGCGGGCGGCGGUGGCUGAAAGAACACUUGAGAGACAGCAGGUAAAUCAGACGUGGCUUUAUUCAGCAUCUCUCAUCAGCUGUUCACUUAUACUGUCCGCUCUGUCUAGGCUGCUUACUCUGGCCACUCCCACACAGAGCUGCACAGCCGGCUCUCGUUUGCCUUCAGGGUCAGCAGCUUAAUUCUUUCUCUGGGCACGAGCAGCCUGAGCUGUGUCCUGGCUCCCCUCUGUUCAUCUGCAAAGACGGACAGCUCUGUCUCUCUCUUUCUCUGGGUUCCAGCACGCCUGUACAGUGUCAGCAAGGCAAUUAUGUCUUUACAGACAAUAGUGGCUUAGAGCCAAGUGAUAAGCCUUCCCGUGUUAUGGCUACAUGGCUGUGAUAACAGGUGGAGUUAUACGCCUGCACUGUAAACUCGCUGAGUCACUCUGGAUGUAUACCUCGGCCUGUGCUUGACCAAAGCACAGCCAUGUUCCUUGCAGCAAUUCAGCUCCGCGUACUGUGCCGUCACUGUAUUCCAGUACCUGUAACCUAAACAGCUUUCUGUGCCCUGCUAUUCAACGAGGUGUCUUCAGGGGAAGGUGUCAUGAUGAAUGUCCAGUGCUCUGGGCAUCUCCGAGUUCAGCCAGGUACAUUGUCAAAGUGGUGAUCCC
rnacentral:lncRNA from 10 species